AGUCCGAAGAGAAGGCAGAGGAGAAAGCAGUAGAAGAGAAGGCAGCAGAGGAGGAGAAGAAGGAAGAGCCAAAACCACCAGCUCCUUUUGUUCUGUAUGUGGACUUGCAUUGUGUUGGCUGUGCAAAGAAAAUUGAGAGGUCUAUCAUGAAAAUUAGAGGUAUGCAUUUCCUGAAAAUGGCAUGCAUUUCACUAAUUCACUUGGUUUAAUUAAUUAGUUUGCUAAUAUAUAUUGUUUCUUGAUUGAUUUGUAGGGGUGGAAGGGGUUGUGGUAGACAUGGCUACGAAUGAAGUGACCAUAAAGGGAAUAGUGGAGCCUCAAGCAGUGUGCAACAAAAUCAUGAAAAGAACAAAGAGAAAGGCUAAAGUAUUGUCUCCAUUACCAGCUGCUGAGGGUGAACCUAUUCCAGAAGUUGUUGCUUCUCAGGUC
rnacentral:lncRNA from 1 species